UAAACUGUCAACCUCUCCUUACCUUGU
rnacentral:piRNA from 1 species